rnacentral:rRNA from 1 species
AAAUUGAAGAGUUUGAUCAUGGCUCAGAUUGAACGCUGGCGGCAGGCCUAACACAUGCAAGUCGAGCGGUAGCACAGAGAGCUUGCUCUCGGGUGACGAGCGGCGGACGGGUGAGUAAUGUCUGGGAAACUGCCUGAUGGAGGGGGAUAACUACUGGAAACGGUAGCUAAUACCGCAUAACGUCGCAAGACCAAAGUGGGGGACCUUCGGGCCUCAUGCCAUCAGAUGUGCCCAGAUGGGAUUAGCUAGUAGGUGGGGUAAUGGCUCACCUAGGCGACGAUCCCUAGCUGGUCUGAGAGGAUGACCAGCCACACUGGAACUGAGACACGGUCCAGACUCCUACGGGAGGCAGCAGUGGGGAAUAUUGCACAAUGGGCGCAAGCCUGAUGCAGCCAUGCCGCGUGUGUGAAGAAGGCCUUCGGGUUGUAAAGCACUUUCAGCGGGGAGGAAGGCGAUAAGGUUAAUAACCUUGUCGAUUGACGUUACCCGCAGAAGAAGCACCGGCUAACUCCGUGCCAGCAGCCGCGGUAAUACGGAGGGUGCAAGCGUUAAUCGGAAUUACUGGGCGUAAAGCGCACGCAGGCGGUCUGUCAAGUCGGAUGUGAAAUCCCCGGGCUCAACCUGGGAACUGCAUUCGAAACUGGCAGGCUAGAGUCUUGUAGAGGGGGGUAGAAUUCCAGGUGUAGCGGUGAAAUGCGUAGAGAUCUGGAGGAAUACCGGUGGCGAAGGCGGCCCCCUGGACAAAGACUGACGCUCAGGUGCGAAAGCGUGGGGAGCAAACAGGAUUAGAUACCCUGGUAGUCCACGCCGUAAACGAUGUCGAUUUGGAGGUUGUGCCCUUGAGGCGUGGCUUCCGGAGCUAACGCGUUAAAUCGACCGCCUGGGGAGUACGGCCGCAAGGUUAAAACUCAAAUGAAUUGACGGGGGCCCGCACAAGCGGUGGAGCAUGUGGUUUAAUUCGAUGCAACGCGAAGAACCUUACCUGGUCUUGACAUCCACAGAACUUUCCAGAGAUGGAUUGGUGCCUUCGGGAACUGUGAGACAGGUGCUGCAUGGCUGUCGUCAGCUCGUGUUGUGAAAUGUUGGGUUAAGUCCCGCAACGAGCGCAACCCUUAUCCUUUGUUGCCAGCGGUUCGGCCGGGAACUCAAAGGAGACUGCCAGUGAUAAACUGGAGGAAGGUGGGGAUGACGUCAAGUCAUCAUGGCCCUUACGACCAGGGCUACACACGUGCUACAAUGGCAUAUACAAAGAGAAGCGACCUCGCGAGAGCAAGCGGACCUCAUAAAGUAUGUCGUAGUCCGGAUUGGAGUCUGCAACUCGACUCCAUGAAGUCGGAAUCGCUAGUAAUCGUAGAUCAGAAUGCUACGGUGAAUACGUUCCCGGGCCUUGUACACACCGCCCGUCACACCAUGGGAGUGGGUUGCAAAAGAAGUAGGUAGCUUAACCUUCGGGAGGGCGCUUACCACUUUGUGAUUCAUGACUGGGGUGAAGUCGUAACAAGGUAACCGUAGGGGAACCUGCGGUUGGAUCACCUCCUUA